rnacentral:rRNA from 1 species
AUUGAACGCUGGCGGCAUGCCUUACACAUGCAAGUCGAACGGCAGCACGGGUGCUUGCACCUGGUGGCGAGUGGCGAACGGGUGAGUAUCACAUCGGAACGUACCUUAUCGUGGGGGAUAACGCAGCGAAAGCUGUGCUAAUACCGCAUACGCCCUGAGGGGGAAAGCGGGGGAUCGCAAGACCUCGCGCGAUUAGAGCGGCCGAUGCCUGAUUAGCUUGUUGGUGGGGUAGAAGCCCACCAAGGCGACGAUCAGUAGCUGGUCUGAGAGGACGAUCAGCCACACUGGGACUGAGGCACGGCCCAGACUCCUACGGGAGGCAGCAGUGGGGAAUUUUGGACAAUGGGGGCAACCCUGAUCCAGCAAUGCCGCGUGAGUGAAGAAGGCCUUCGGGUUGUAAAGCUCUUUUGUCAGGGAAGAAACAGCAGCUCUAACACAGUCUGCGAAUGACGGUACCUGAAGAAUAAGCACCGGCUAACUACGUGCCAGCAGCCGCCGUAA